rnacentral:lncRNA from 1 species
AAUGAUGCCAAACAUCCAAAUAGUAUUUGCUGUGAUGUUGAAACAUUUGUAGCAGAUAUACUGAAAGGAGAAAAUUUAUCCAAGAAAGCAAAGGAAAAGAGAGAAUCCCUUAUUAAGAAGAUAAAAGAUGUAAAGUCUAUCUAUCUUCAGGAAUUUCAAGACAAAGGUGAUGCAGAAGAUGGGGAAGAAUAUGAUGACCCUUUUGCUGGGCCUCCAGACACUAUUUCAUUAGCCUCAGAACGAUAUGAUAAAGACGAUGAAGCCCCCUCUGAUGGAGCCCAGUUUCCUCCAAUUGCAGCACAAGACCUUCCUUUUGUUCUAAAGGCUGGCUACCUUGAAAAACGCAGAAAAGAUCACAGCUUUCUGGGAUUUGAAUGGCAGAAACGGUGGUGUGCUCUCAGUAAAACGGUAUUCUAUUAUUAUGGAAGUGAUAAAGACAAACAACAGAAAGGUGAAUUUGCAAUAGAUGGCUACAGUGUCAGAAUGAAUAACACUCUAAGAAAGGAUGGAAAGAAAGAUUGCUGUUUUGAAAUCUCUGCUCCUGAUAAACGUAU